rnacentral:rRNA from 1 species
UCAAAAACAUAACUUAUUGUUACUUUAUAAUAAGCUAAAUCUGCUCAAUGAUAAAUUAAAUAGCCGCGGUACUUUGACCGUGCAAAGGUAGCAUAAUCAAUUGGCUUAUAAAUGAAGUCUAGAAUGAAUGAAUUUAUGGAGGAUAUCUGUCUUUUAUUUAUUUAAACUAAAUUACUUAAUAAGUGAAAAUUCUUAUUAAAAAAUAUUAGACGAGAAGACCCUAAAAAUUUUACAUAUAUUAUUUUUUAGGUUAUUUUGUUUUAUUGGGGCGAUAAAAUAACAAUAUCUAAACUUAUUUAUUUACUAUAUGAGUUUAAAUAUAAAGAUUAAUUAAAUUACUUUAGGGAUAACAGCAUAAUCUAUAAUUAGGUUUAUGACCUCGAUGUUGGACUAGGAAAUUAAUAGGUUAGAAAUUUAUUAAUCAAGUUCUGUUCGAACUAUGUUUUCCUACAUGAUCUG